CAAAGACGUCUGCUUAUUCCAUAACUGUGAUGUCUUUCCUUUGGGCCCUAAGCUAUCUGUGCUUUUCUUGUCCCAGGGUCUGAGAUCCAGCAGCACUUUUUGAAGUGAGCCUUUAUUACAGCUAUUACCACAAGGUUUUGUGGGUCAAUAAUUCAGAAGUAACUUAGCUUGGCAUCUCUCAUGAAGGUGCAGUCAUCUGAAGACUUGACUGGGGCUGAAGGAUCCAUUUCCAAGAAGGCUCACUUACAUGCCUGGCAAAACAUGAGACUUUACAACCUGCUAAAAAUGAGCUUUCGGGACCUGCUCAUCUAGAAAUCAACUGUCCUAGCCACGAGAGAUCAGAUAAAACCUGAGACCAGAUACUCAUUUUCCUUUCUCCGAAAGAUUUUAAAAAAGAAAAGGGGGAAAAUGUGAAAGGAAAGUAUCUGGGGCCUCUUCAAGCUGGGAACUGCUCAGGGCAAAUCUGCCUCCAAUUCUAUUCAAGUCAUCUCUCUGCUCACAGAGAUAGAUGCAUAUUCUGAUUGCCUCUUCUGGAAAGACAUGUCAGAAACUGAAAAGAAUGCAAUCUAUGUUUCACCUACAUGUAACCUGGAAGUAAGUUGUCUCCACCUUUCUGGAUGAAACUAAUGUACUUCAUACAUAUUGACUGAUGUCUCCUGUCUCCCUAAAAUAUAUAAACUCAAGCUGUGCCCCGACCACAUUGGGCACAUGUCAUCAGAACUUCCUGAGACUGUGUCACAGGUGCAUCCUCAACCUUGGCAAAAUAAACUUUUAAAAUUAACUGAGACCUGUCUCAGAUUUUUGAGGUUCACAUAGGCAAGACACAAAUAUAUGCUGACUGGAGGAACCUGUGGGAGUGGUAUAAUGAUCUAUCUGGAAGUUUAUCAUUUCCUUCUGCAAGACUGGGAGGUUUUUCCAUAGAAGUUGGCUAUGAAUUGUGCUUUGAAAGAAGGGAAGGGUGGAUCCUGCCUGGUUGAAGAAGUAAAAGCAGUUAAUUUUAGUAACAAUAAGAAUGAUACAGGCUAGGGCUGAAUAAGAAGGGAUGGGAACAAAAGAAACUUGGCUAGAAGCCAACAGAUGGACUUAAAUAAGCAAGGAAAUAAGACAUACAGUAUCGCUAUCAUCUUGCAUUAAUACUCUUCAUUUUUACUUAUCAAAACACUUCCACAUAAAUGAUUUCCUUUGAUUUUCACAAUAAACCUGUAAAGUAGACAGACAGUCCAAGAAGCAAUCAUUGUACAGGUUGCUUUGUCAUUUUUUUAGGAAUCAAGGGAUUGAACCAAACACUUUUCCCAAGCUUGGUUCCUUGAGCCUUUGGCUGGCCCUGAGAUAGACAGCUGAGGUGGAUUGUGAUGGAGUCUCAUAGUUUACAUUUGGGGAAUGAAGUAGUAGAAGCCAAAGGCUCAAAGAAUUACCCAAGUGUCAACAUACAGGAUUGACAGAAAAGAUGACAAGCUGGCCAGGUACCAUGCCUCAUGGCCUGUAAUCCCAGCACUUUGGGAGGCUGAGGCCGGAGGAUCACCUGAGCCCAGGUGUUAGAGACUAGCCUGGGCAACAUAGCGAGACCUUGUCUCUACUAAAAAGUAAUUUGUGUGUGUGCGUGUGUGUGUGUGUGUGUGUGUGUGUGUGUGUGUUUUCCCAGGCAUAGUGGCUUGUGCCUGUGGUCCCAGCUACUUGGGAUGUUGAGGUGAGUGAGGUGAGAGGACUGCUUGAAUCCAGGAGUUCAAGGCCAAACUGGACAGCAUGGUGAGAUCCUGUGUCUAUAAAAAAUAAAAAAAAUAGCCAGGUUUGGUGGCACAUGCCUGUAGUCACAGCUAUGUGGGAGGCUGAGGUGGGAGGAUCACAGCCAGGCCUGGGAAGGUCAAGACUGCAGUGAGCUGUAAUCACACCACUACCCUCCAGCCUAGGUGACAGAACAAGAUCUUCUCUCAACAACAACAACAAAAAGUGUAGGGGGGUGGGGCACAUGCAUUUAGGUGAACAAAUAAUGUGUAUAAUAUGAACAUAGCAUGCAAAA